AAGAGUGCAGGAGAGUCCUGAACAAAACUGAGGGUGGAUCGGAUGGACUCAUGACUAAGGCAGCUGGGUGUGCAGUCUAGCCCUACAGGCCCUCUGCCAUUUCUGGCCCGUUUCUACAAGUGCACAAACAAAUGAGGUCUGGGAGGGAGGGUGUUUUCCCCCUUUGCCUAAGUAGUUGCAGUUAGCCAUAAUGGCUGAAGGUGGGAGGGUAAAUGUUCAUGGUGAUGCUAAAUAGAAUGCCUUCCAGGGCACCUUUGGGAUGACUGUUCCUGAGACUGAACCAGCGAGUUAGUGACACAUCGCAUCUGACAGGUAGAUGGCACUGCAGUAAUUGACUCUCUACUUUGUGGAUUUCUGGUGCCAUCAGGUACCCUAGAUGGCUUGAGGGCAGGGCAGUGAGGCUUUUGGCCUGUGUGGCCAUUAUCUACUUUGUUCUGUUAGUCUAUAGCCCACCAGACUAUUCUCUGGGCAAUACGCUUGAGAGGAGAGACCACCACUUGGACUUGAAGCUAACAUUUCUUCAGCGUUGGGAUCUACAAGGUGGAGUGCAAGUUCCCUUUUUUCCUGUAUUCAAACACCUAUGAGACCACUUGAGGCCAAUGGGUAGGGUUUUUCCUAAGUGCCUCUGGGCUGGAAAUUCCCAGGGUCCAAGGGUGCUGAAGUCGUGGGGUAAUCCCUGUCCCAAUAAUUCUCGGUUUCACUGCUUUAGUGAAGGGAGAUUGGCAGUGGGCCUCUGAAGGGGAUCACUGCACCUGUUCAGCUGCCACUUUGACUAGUCUUAAAAAUGCAACCUCACAGGGCUCUUUUAAUCUUAUAUGUUAUAAGAAGUGAUUUUGCAUAGGAUGAGCUAUCAAAAAGGACAAACCAUAGUGAAGAUUAUCUUGAGCCAUUUCCUAUCCAAUCCUAUGGCCUCCUCUCCCCCUCAUACACUCAUACACAAAUAGUGCAAUAAUAGUAGCAAAUUAUCAUUGGCUGCCAAGCACUCUGCUUCUUGCUUUGCAUGCACUAUAUAAUUUAUGCCUCACGAUAAUCCCAGAAGGCAGCUGGAAUUCCCCCCUUCCCAUAUAAUAGAUAAGGAAAGAAUAUAAGAGUGUUUAAUGAUUUGUCCAAAGACAAAUAGCUAAUAAGACACAAAGUUGGGAUAAGGGACAGUACUCCUUUAUUUCAAGGAAAGAGUGAGCUUGGUGAAAGGAAUCAGCCUUAGAUGGCUCUAAUGUCCUUGAGGACACCCUCAGAAUACUUGGUGAUGAUAUCCUCAAGGUACCCCAAAUCCUUGGACUGUAGAUCAUUAUCCCCACACCACUGACAUUACCAAUUCAUAAGCAUCUGACACACACACACGUUUGCUGCUAGUAGAGCAAAUAGACCUGGUUCAAGGACAAGCUCUGCCUCCCCUGGCUGGGACCAUGGGCAAAGCGGUAAUUUCUGAGUCUGAGUUUAUUAUGGAUUAAAUGGCAGUAAUAUCUGCUCUGGUUGUCUCAUUGCCAAAUGGAUCACCUGUGACCCACAAGCACUCUACUCGUUGUGUUUGCUCAAAAUAAAUUUGUCGAAUUGCGUGAUAAACAUGAAGAUACUUUAUAAAGCAUUAUGAAAAUGUAAGCUAUUAUUAUUAUUUCUUUUUUGACUGUUUAAAAUAGAACUACCUAAGGGACUUCCAUGUUUCUAUUUGUCACCAAGCUAUUUUCUUCAGGCCGAGUGUGCUGACUCAACCAGAAAAACCAAGAGAGGAAAGGUCGAAGCAACCCAAAUCUGUUUAUGGGAAGUUAAACUUCUACAGAAGGUUUAAAGGUGAUAUAUGUCUAAAUCUGUGAGAAGGUUGUGAGUAUGUACAUAUAUGAACAGAAGGUAACCACGGAAAAGCAGAGCUGCAAGUGACCUCGGAGCACCCUGUAUCAGCCCUGCCAACUUGAGAAACGAGGAGACAGAGGCCCAGGAAGAAUAUGUCUGAUGCCCCUUCUAAGUUGUGAUGUUUAGGCUUAUAAAUCACAUCCUAUUGGUGUACGACUUGGAAUCCCAAUUUCCAAUCCUUCUCAGCAAAAUAACAGGAGGAACCCUACAGUGCGACUCUUUCUGCCUCCCUAGGAGAGGUUCUAUGGAAAGAUAAUAAUUUAUGAAAUAUGAAUAUUCAACUUCUGGAGAAAUAUAAGGCAGUGGAGAGUCUAUUUGCUUCUCCAUGUGCAAGGCAGAUGGAUUUGCAAGAAGACAGACACCAGGGGCUUAGUCUUUGGAAGCCUGUGCUGGCCAGGCACUGUGAGCAGCACUUUUAUGUACGGAUGGAAGAUGCUCACAGCCUCAUCCCCCAUCCCAAUGCCACCGUGGCAAGGCAGUGGGAUGCUCUGCCAGACUGAACCCUGGUGCCUGUGAACACACGUGCAGCAGCCCAGAGAGAGAGGUUGCUCUUUCCUCUAAACUGGCAAGGAACUCCUAGCAGCUACGCCCCAUUCCCCAGCCUGGCACCUCAGGUCCAGCCUGGGCCUGGGUCUUCCCCAGAGACACCUUGGCCACCACAAUGAUGGCAGCAGGGUCCCAACUGGCUAAUGGAGCCCCAGGCCACCAUUGAGAGUCAAGUUUAUUUUAAAAGGCAACAUAUCUUCACAACAUGCCUGUUUGGGUUU